ensembl:lncRNA
GUCGGUGGAUAAGGGAUAUAAAGGGACAGUGCAGCAAACCUAACCAACUGAUCUAAUUGAUCAGUUCAUUGAUUGCUGGAAAUCCAAAAACAUGAUGUGACUGUGGCACUCCAGGACCAGGAAUUCAUACUUCUGGGCUAAGGUGUAGGCUGGGUUGAGAUCCAGGGGUUGAGUGGUGAUGAUGGCUGGGUGGAGGCCAAUGGAUAUGUGAAGGUUGGAGGGAAGGAGGGAUCAAUACCAGGGGUGAUGGAGGGGUGGUUGCUGGGGUUGUUGGGUUUGGUGGAGGCUGUGGUAAGACUGUGGGGGAGUAGGGGUGGAUACUAAGGGUGUUUGGUGGAGUGGAGGAUGGGGAAGGCUUGAUGCAGUAAGGGUAUAUUCUGAGUUCAGCUACAUUCUACAGUAGGUUACUCUCCCAUAUGGCUAAGUUGAUUGUUCAGCUACAGUAGGUUACUCUCCCAUAUGGCUGAGUUGACUGUUCAGCUACUGUAGGUUAUUCCCCAAUAUGGCUGAGUUGACUGUUCAGCUACUGGAGGUUACUCUCCCAUGCUAGUGUAGGUUACUCUCCCAUCCUACUGUAGGUUACUCUCCUAUGCUACUGUAGGUGACUCCCCAUGCUACUGUAGGUUAAUCUCCCAUGAUACUGUAGGUUACUCUCCCAUGCUACUGUAGGUUACUCUCCCAUAUGGCUGAGUUGACUGUUCAGCUACUGUAUGUUACUCUCCAAUGCUACUGUAGGUUACUCUUCCAUCCUACUGUAGGUUACUCUCCCCCUUCUACUGUAGGUAACUCGCCCAUGCUACUGUAGGUUACUAUCUCAUGUUACUGUAGGUUACUCUCCCAUGUUACUGUAGGUUACUCUCCCAUGUUACUGUAGGUUACUCUCCCAUGCUACUGUAGGUUACUCUCCCAUGCUACUGUAGGUUACUCUCCCAUAUUACUGUAGGUUACUCUCCCAUGCUACUGUAGGUUACUCUCCCAUGCUACUGUAGGUUACUCUCCC